GUGAGGCCGGCUGGGACGCUGCGGUCCGAGAGGCUGGGCUCUCGCGUCGGCCUUGAAGCAUAGCAAAGAAGUGAAACCCACUGAGAAUACUCCGUAAAGAUCUGACAAUUCCAAAGGAGGAACUCAACGCAGCUCACAAUGGAUCAAAAUAACUGAAGAUGCAAUAAUAAUAACAACAUGGAAUAUCACCGUAAAUAUGAUACGACCUGUAUGGGCUUGCUUUAGCAGCCCUGUGAUACCUGCUUAAUUUGCAACAUGUAAAAUGAACAGAUUGUUACAAAAAGAAUAUGUUUCUGUCAUUCCUCCUGUAAAGGAGAUUUCCCUGUAAAGGCUGCUCUGCAUUUUCCAGUGCUUAGGGAAAGAGAAGUGGAAAUGAUUUGUUCACAAAGCUUGACUUGAUUCAGAAUAAAAAAUUCCCGGAAUGAUUCAAAGCAA